GUUCANCGGCCGCGGUAUUCUGACCGUGCAAAGGUAGCGUAAUCACUUGUCUUUUAAAUAAAGACUAGUAUGAAUGGCACCACGAAGGUUCAACGUCUCCUGCAUCCAAUCCAUUAAACUGACCUCCCCGUGCAGAGGCGGGGAUACAACCAUAAGACGAGAAGACCCUAUGGAGCUUUAAACUAAAGGCAACUGCCAACUUCAACCUAACCCGUAAGGAAGAAACAAUAAAACAAGCAGAAAUUGACCUAAAGUUUUCGGUUGGGGCGACCACGGAGAACAAAAAAUCCUCCUUGAAGAAUAGGGUCUACCACCCUUAACCAAGAAUCACCAUUCUAAGUAACAAAAUUUAUGACUACAAUUGAUCCAGUCUUACUGAUCAACGAACCAAGUUACCCUAGGGAUAACAGCGCAAUCCAUUUCAAAAGUUCCUAUCGACAAAUGGGUUUACGACCUCGAUGUUGGAUCAGGGCAUCCCAGUGGUGCAGCCGCUACUAAAGGUUCGUUUGUUCAACGAUUAAAGCCCUACGUGAUCUGANU
rnacentral:rRNA from 1 species